GUAGCCGACACCGCAAGGUCGCUGUCGCAUUUUGACAGUCCGUUUUUCUGCGCUCCGCAUUGCGGGGCGCAACCGGCAACGCCGGAAUUUGCCAACCCGCCGAUGGCAUUCAUCGGC
rnacentral:ncRNA from 1 species